UACGUAGGGGGCAAGCGUUGUCCGGAUUUAUUGGGCGUAAAGAGCGUGUAGGCGGCUAGAUAGGUCCGUUGUGAAAACUCGAGACUCAACCUCGAGACGCCGGUGGAAACCAUCUAGCUAGAGUCCGGAAGAGGAGAGUGGAAUUCCUGGUGUAGCGGUGAAAUGCGCAGAUAUCAGGAAGAACACCCGUGGCGAAGGCGGCUCUCUGGGACGUGACUGACGCUGAGACGCGAAAGCGUGGGGAGCAAACAGG
rnacentral:rRNA from 1 species